AAAUUACAAUUAUGAGCAAGUUGCAUUAUUUAAAAUCCUGAAAUAGGAGCACGCUUCUAUAAAUUGGAUUUCAAUAUAUGGAAAUUCCAGUACAGAUCCAGACAUGGCACAUAACAUGUUUAUCUCUUUCGUGGUUAUGCUGUUGCUGAGUCCCCCUUUUCUCUCUGUAGCAGCAUCUUCUGGAAACGAAUUUAAUGAAUUAGCGUCACUGCUGGGAAGAAAACUGCUUCAGUGUGCGUGUCCGCUGACAUUUUGCAUUUGUGGCUCUAAUUCCAGUCCAUAAGAUAGGUUCAUCACUUCAUUGUGACGUCCAUAUGAAAUAAAUACAACUAAUUAAAGUUGUUGUGGCUUCGUUAAUUAGUUUUAUUAAACAAUGAAGGGUGCUAGUAUAUAUUUAUAUGAAUAUAUAAGCAAGUAGUUAUCAUGUUUCAUUUUAUCUACAGCACUAUUUAUUUCUUAAAUAAAUAAAAUUUGUACUUUAUGAUUGCUUCUAUAAAAUUCAAGUUAUUCUACUUA